CCUAAUCAAACUAAAACCAAAAAUCUCUCUUUCAUCAUCAUCAAAAAAAAAAAUACUCUGUCUACAUUCAUCAUCAUCAAAACUACAUUCAUUUAAGUCGGAUUCUAGCCAUUACAUAGAUUGCAAAAAAAAAAAAAUCUUUCCACAUAGAGUACGACACCCUAAAAUCACAACUAAAUAUAUUAAAAUCACAAUUAAAAUCAAAA
rnacentral:lncRNA from 1 species